UGGGAACCACUAAGUGUCAGAUAAAGAUGAUGUAAAUUGUUACAACCGGGCCGACAAAAGACUACAAACAUGGCCGCCGCUCACAAACUUACCGGCUACAGUGCCAUCUUCUGGUUGGAUGCCGUCAUGACCGAGGGUAUGCAGGCCCCUCACUCCAGCAAAUGUUACCCACUUAAGGUGAACCCCAAGGAACAAAGGGGAAUGAAAAGGUGGAGAGUUGAAAAUGGACAAGAAAAAGAAGGCAUGUGGACAUUAUAUUAUGAACUAUUGUGGUGGAAGUCAUUCUUCUUAAAGUCAAGCAGAAUUGAAGGAGGUGGUGGGAUUGUCAUUUAUUUCCAACCCCCGAUUCAGCAAACAGUUGGUCUCUGCGGUCAAUGUCAAUGAACAAGGCCCCUGGUUGAAAAGACUGAAAUAAGUGAUGAACUGACACAAAAUUAAAAACCAAGGAGCUGUUGGCACAGAGUCCCCAUCUCGACUUGCCAAUCCAUUCUGUGAAAGCAGAGAACUGGGAUCUUGUAAAAUCAUGGAAGGAAGAAAAGCUGCAACCAAAGUGGACUGGACCCUACCUUGCGUUAUUAAUCACCGAGACAGCAGUACGAACAAAAAAAAAAGGGUGGACACACGCAAGCCGAUUUAAGGGUCCUGUGGAGGCCCCACCGGACAAUAUCAGCCCGUAGACUGUGCGUGAAGGGAAGGAACCAUUGACUUUGUGCCUAUUCGGAUGUUGUAUUAUUCCCAGCGCUGGCCUUCAGAACACAGUAUGACUAGCGAGAGGAGGAUAGGGAGGCGAAGAAUCUGCUGCUAGCACUAGAAAAGGAAGAUAUAGUAUAAUUCAAAAGAUGCGUAGCAAAAAGAAAAAUGGUGGAUUGUGAGAGAAGGGUUAAUAGGGAUGAUUGAAUUAUACUAGAACUCUGAAAAAUAUAACUUAGAAAGAAAUGAGCUUAUCCGCAGAAGCCAGACUGCUAGUAGAAUAAAGUAACAAUAUACAGAACAGAGAGAAAUUCUAGAUAAAAAGUAGCAAACAGAUAACAACUUCAGCAGAAGGCCUUGGGAGUCUUGACGUCAGGAAAUGGUCCGAGACAUUCCUGGACUUUCUCGUGUGAAUGUGGGCUUUAUGUUAUGAUUGGACGAAACUCGAUGGGGAGACCUGAGGUAGUGACCACAGUGAAGAAGGGUAUAAAGAUAGAAAGCAUCUCCAUUUUCUUUGUGCCUCCAGGGGACAUCAGAGGAGAGACACCUAUUCUGCAGAAUAUGAAAUUAAUAAAAACACUUCUUUGUCUGAA